UGAGGGGUGCCAGAGAGACUUAUCGGGCCAUCUUGGAAAGGUGGUGUAGGGGCAACCUUACCAGGGGUUUGAAUCCCCUCCCCUCAA
rnacentral:tRNA from 1 species